AACGUAGGACGCGAGCGUUAUCCGGAGUUACUGGGCGUAAAGGGUGGGCAGGCGGCCGUGUCAGAUGGGUGUGAAAUCUCCCGGCUCAACCGGGAGGGGCCACUCGUGACUGCACGGCUGGAGGGCAGCAGAGGCGCGUGGAAUUCCGGGUGGAGUGGUGAAAUGCGUAGAGAUCCGGAGGAACACCAGAGGCAAAGGCGGCGCGCUGGGCUGCACCUGACGCUGAACCACGAAAGCCAGGGUAGCGAACGGG
rnacentral:rRNA from 1 species